GUCAACAGAUGGAGUAGUCAGUGGGAUUCCAGCAAGAUCCAUGGACACGGAGGACUUGUUCUCUUGGGCUUGGAGCUUGGUACCAGAACAAACCCAAUGUGUUCUAACCAAUUCUCUCCAGGAAGCCACUAGGUGUAUAUGGGCUCUUCCAGCAGAUGAGGAUCUUAAGUAUCAUGAUCUCCAGCCAAGGGACGACGUCUAUUGGAAAAGACAUCAUCUAAUGGACUCUCUUGAGCCUCAUAGCAAGGAUCUUACCAGAGGAAGUUGUAGACAUCAGUAAACUCCUCCCUAUGUACCUGAGCAUGCAUUUCAUUAACCAGAGGUCCAGUAUUACAAUUUCAUCAAUGUCAGGCAAGACAGAUUCUGAUCUCUCCAGCACCUACAGAAGAUCAAUGGCUGAUAUGAUUUGGAAAGGAUUUCAGCUUCCCAGCUGUGGAACCAUAGGGGCAUGGGGCAACACACACUCACCUCAACUAGUCAGCAACAAGAAGGGCUGACUUGUCAGCAAAUAAAAGUAGUGUCGCUGGUGACACAUGAAACUCAGAACUAUGGAGAUUCAGAUAAUAUUGUUAAUUGAACAACAUCUGUAAUCACUGGCUUGCAAAACCUGCUUACAUGCAAUCAUAUGUCUCACCUCAUCUUUCCUGUUAGAGUAAAAGUUAAGGAAAGAAGUUUGGAAUAGUACAAAAAAAGCACAGGAUUUGGGGCCCUGGAAAUCUGGGGCACAAAACCUCGUCUUGAACAAGUCACUUAAUUCUGCUGAGACUCAGUUUUUUAUAUAUAAAUAGGGAUAAUAAUAGGUACAUCACAGAGUUGCAGUAAAAUUAAAUAAGGCUUUGUGUGCAAAGCUUCAGGCACAGUGCUGGGAACAAAAGAGGCAAGUGAUAAAUUGAAGUUGUAGCUAUUUUUCUAGUGCUAUUAUUACCAAUAAACUUUUUGAAGGCAAAGUCUUAACUCAUUCGAUUUUUUUCCCUACAUGCUUAGCCUCAUGUUGGGUUAACAAUAGGCUCCAGUAAAUAUUGACUACAUGGA
rnacentral:lncRNA from 1 species